rnacentral:lncRNA from 1 species
UCAAUAAUACCGAAGGCUAACACCUACAGAUAUUUUACCAAUAAAUAGAGUCAAACAAAAUGUGAUCUAUGGCAAGGAAACAUAUGUGGGGUGAGGUGUACGAGCCUCUGGUCAAUGACCAAUGGCCACACAACCCCCAUUUUUGUCGAAAAUAGCAUGAACGACCAUUUUCAAUAAUACCGAAGGCUAACACCUACGCAUUUUUACUAAGAUUUGGUCUCCACCAGAAAUCCAAACAUUUUAUCUAUGGCAAUAAAACAUAUGUGGGAUGAGGUGUACGAGCCUUUGGUCGAUGAUUAAUGGCCACACAACCCCUAUUUUUGUUGAAAAUAGCAUGAACGACCAUUUUCAAUAAUACCGAAGGAUAACACCUACAAUUUUUGGCCAAGAAAUGGUAUCCAAUAGAAAUCCAAGAAUGUGAUAUAUGGCAAGUAAACAUAUGUGGGGUUAGGUGUACGAGCCUCUCGUCAUUGAUCAAUGGCCACACAACCCCUAUUUUUUUGAAAAUAACAUGAACGACCAUUUUCAAUAAUACCGAAGGGUAACACCUAUGAAUUUUUGACCAAGAAAUGGUCUCCUCCAGAAAUCCAAGAUUGUGAUCUAUGGGAAGGAAACAUUUGUGGGGUGAGUUGUACGAGCCUUUGGUCGAUGAUAAAUGGCCACACAACCCACAUUUUUGUCGAAAAUUGAAUGGACGACUAUUUCAAUAAUACCGAAGGCUAACACCUACGGAUUUUUGAUCAACAAAUGGUCUCCACUAGAAAUCUAAGAAUGUGAUCUAUGGCAAGGAAACAUAUGUGGGGUGAGGUGUACGAGCCUCUGGUCGAUGAUCAAUGGCCACACAACCCCAUUAUUGUCAAAAAUAGCCAUUAAUGACCAUUUUCAAUAAUACAGAAGGCUAACACCUACGAUUUAUGACCUGGAAAUGGUCGGUUGGAAUAUAAAGAAUUCAAAACAAUAGAUCAGCUUUUAAACCUCAAAUGAUGUUUCUAUGAUAUUGACUGCAUUGUAUUCACAUGAGUGAGUAUUAGAGUACAACUAGUGGAUGAAGACGUUAUUGGGCUAGCUAAUGACCUUUUGUGAUACCAGGUUUCCUAUAAUCCCCUCUAUUCAAGGCAUACCUAGAUGGUGUUUAUGUCCACUCAAGUAAAACACUACACUUUAUUAUGCCACAUUGUUUCUCAAAAUAAAAUAAAGACCAUGGGAAAUUUAGCUAAAUUACAUAAGAGAUCUGUCCAAACAUAGGUUAAGGUUGUAAGGCACCUUUUUCCAUCAUACAGUUGCUAAAAAGUUGGAAUAUAAAGAAUUCAAAAAAAUAGACCAACUUUGAAACUAGAAAUAGUGUUUCUAUGGUAAUGAGGGCAUUGUAUUCGCAUGAGAGGGUAUUAGAGUACAACACACUGAAUGAAGACAUUAGUGGGCUAGCUAAUGACCUUUUGUGAUAAUAUGUUUCCUAUAAUCCCCUCUAUUCAAGGCAUACUCAAAUGGUGUUUAAGUCCACUCAAGUAAAACACCACACUUCAAUUUGCAACAUCGUUUCUCAAAAUAAAAUAAAGACCAUGAAAAUUUUAGCCAAAUUGCAUGGGAGACCUGUCCAAACAUAGGUUAACAUUGUAAGGCAUAUUUUUUAAACCAUGCAAAAAGUUGGAAUAUAAAGAAUUCAAUACAAUAGAUAACCUUUUAAACUACAAAUGACGUUUCCUGAUGUCAAGGGCAUUGUAUUAGCACGAGAGGGUAUUAGAGUACAACUAGUGGAUGAAGACGUCAUUGGGCUAGCUAAUGACCUUUUGUGAUUCUAGGUUUCCUAUAAUCCCCUCUAGGUUUCCUAUAAUCCCCUCUAUUCAAUAUGCCACAUCGUUUCUCAAUAUAAAAUAAAGACCAUGGAAAAUUUAGCCAAAUUGCAUGAGUGAAUUGUCCAAACAUUGGUUAUGGUUGUAAGGCACCUUUUUCCACCAUACAGUUGCUAAAAAGUUGGAAUAUAAAGAAUUCUAAUCAAUAGAUCAUCUUUUAAACCACAAAUGAUGUUUCCAUGAUAUUGAGGGCAUUGUAUUCACAUGAGAGGGUAUUAGAGUACAACUAGUGGAUGAAGACAUUGUUGGGCUAGCUACUGACCUUUUGUGAUACCAGGUUUCCUAUAAUCCUCUCUAUUCAAGGCAUACCUAGGUGGUGUUUAUGUCCACUCAAGUAAAACACCGCACAUCAUUAUGCCACAUCGUUUCUCAAAAUAAAAUAAAAUAAAGACCAUGGGAAAUUUAGAAAAAUUGCGUGAGAGAUCUGUCCAAACAUAGGUUAUAGUUGUAUGUCACCUUUUUUCCACCAUAAAGUUGUGAAAAGGUUGUAAUAUAAAGAAUACAAAACAAUAGAUCACCUUUUAAACCUCAAAUGACGUUUCUAUGAUAUUGAGGACAUUGUAUUCAGACGAGUGGGUAUUCGAGAACAACUUGUCGAUGAAGACGUUAUUGGGCUAGCUAAUGACCUUUUGUGAUACUAGGUUUCCUAUAAUCCCCUGUAUUAAAGGCAUACCUAGAUGGUGUUUAUGUCCACUCAAGUAAAACAUCGCACAUCAUUACGCCACAUCGUUUCUAAAAUAAAAUAAAGACAAUAGGAAAUUUAGCCAAAUUGCGUAAGAGAUCUGUCCAAACAUAGGUUAAGGUUGUAAGACACCUUUUUUCCACCAUACAGUUGCUAAAAAGUUGGAAUAUAAAGAAUUCAAAACAAUAGAUCAUGUUUGAAACAAAAAAUAGUGUUUCUAUGAUAUUAAAGGCAUUGUAUUCGCACGAGAGGGUAUUAGAGUACAACUAUUGGAUGAAGACGCUAGUGGGCUAGCUAAUGAUCUUUUGUGAUAACAGGUUUCCUAUAAUCCCCACUAUUCAAGGAAUACUUAAACGGUGUUUAUGUCCACUCAAGUAAAACGCCACACAUCAAUUUGCCACAUCGAUUCUCAAAAUAAAAUAAAGAUGAUAAAAAGUUGGAAUAUAAAGAAUUCAAUACAAUAGAUCAACUUUUAAACCACAAAUGACGUUUCCUUGAUGUCAAGGGCAUUGCAUUGGCACGAGAGGGUAUUAGAGUACAACUAGUGGAUGAAGAUGUCAUUGGGCUAGCUAAUGACCUUUUGUGAUACCAGGUUUCCUAUAAUCCUCUCUAUUCAAGGCAUACCUAGUUGUGUUUAUGUCCACUCAAGAAAAACAAAACACAUCAAUAUGCCACAUCGUUUCUAAAAUAAAAUAAUGACCAUGAAAAAUUUAGCCAAAUUACGUGAGUGAACUGUCCAAACAAAGGUUAAGGUUGUAAGGCACCUUUUUUCCACCAUAUAGUUGCAAAAAAGUUGGAAUAUAAAGAAUUCAAAACAAUAUAUCACCUUUUAAACCUCAAAUGACGUUUCUAUGAUAUUGAGGGCAUUGUAUUCACACGAGACGGUAUUAGAGUACAACUAGUGGAUGAAGAUGUUAUUAAGCUAGCAAAUGACCUUUUGUGAUAGCAAAAUACCUAAAAUCCCCUCUAUUUAACGCAUACCUAGAUGGUAUUUGUGUCCACUCAAGUAAAACACCGCACAUCAUUAUGCCACAUCGUUUCUCAAAAUAAAAUAAAGACCAUGGGAAAUUUAGCCAAAUUGCGUGAGCGAACUUUCCAAACAUAGGUUAAUGUUGUAAGCACUUUUUUCCACCAUACAGUUGCUAAAAAGCAGGAAUAUAAAGAAUUCAAAACAAUAGAUCACCUUUUAAACUAAAAAUGAUGUUUCCCAGAUGUCAAGGGCAUUGUAUUCGCACGAGAGGGUAUUAGAGUACAACUAGUGGAUAAACAUAUGUGGGAUGAGGUGUACGAGCCUUUGGUCGAUGAUUAAUGGCCACACAACCCCUAUUUUUGUUGAAAAUAGCAUGAACGACCAUUUUCAAUAAUACCGAAGGAUAACACCUACAAUUUUUGGCCAAGAAAUGGUAUCCAAUAGAAAUCCAAGAAUGUGAUAUAUGGCAAGUAAACAUAUGUGGGUUAGGUGUACGAGCCUCUGUCAUUGAUCAAUGGCCACACAACCCCUAUUUUUUUGAAAAUAACAUGAACGACCAUUUUCAAUAAUACCGAAGGGUAACACCUAUGAAUUUUUGAUCUAUGGGAAGGAAACAUUUGUGGGGUGAGUUGUACGAGCCUUUGGUCGAUGAUAAAUGGCCACACAACCCACAUUUUUGUCGAAAAUUGAAUGGACGACUAUUUCAAUAAUACCGAAGGCUAACACAUUCGGAUUUUUGCCCAAGAAAUGGUCUCCACCAGAAAUCCAAGAAUGUGAUCUAUGGCAAGGAAACAUAUGUGGGGUGAGGUGUACGAGCCUCUGGUCGAUGAUCAAUGGCCACACAACCCCCAUUUUGUCGAAAAUAGCCAUGAACGACCAUUUUCAAUAAUACUGAAGGCUAACACGUACGAAUUUUUUACCAAGACAUGGUCUCCACCAAAAAUCCAAGAAUGUGAUCUAUGGCAAGGAAACAUAUGUGGGGUGAGGUGUACGAGCCUCUGGUCGAUGAUACAUGGCCACACAACCCCCAUUUUUUAUGAAAAUAGCCAUGAACGACCAUUUUCAAUAAUACCGAAGGCUAAGACCUACGGAUUUUUGACCAAGAAAUGGUCUCCACCAGAAAUCCAAGAAUGUGAUCUAUGGCAAGGAAACAUAUAUGGGGUGAGGUGUAUGAGCAUCUCGUUGAUGAUCAAUGGCCACACAACCCCCAUUUUUGUCGAAAAUAGCCAUGAACGACCAUUUUCAAUAAUACCGAAGGCUAACACCUACGGAUUUUUGACCAAGAAAUGGUCUCCACCAGAAAUCCAAGAAUGUGAUCUAUGGCAAGGAAACAUAUGUGGGGUGAGGUGUACGAGCCUCAGGUCGAUGAUCAAUGGCCACACAACCCCCAUUUUUGUCGAAAAUAGCCAUGAACGACCAUUUUCAAUGACACUGAAGGCUAACACCUACGGAUUUUUGACCAAGAAAUGGUCACCACCAUAAAUCCAAGAAUGUGAUCUAUGGCAAGGAAACAUAUGUGUAGUGAGGUGUAUGAGCCUAUAGUCGAAUAUCACCGAAGGCUAACACCUACGGAUUUUUGACCAAGAAAUGGUCUCCACCAGAAAUCCAAGAAUGUGAUCUAUGGCAAGGAAACAUAUGUGGGGUGAGGUGUACGAGCCUCAGGUCGAUGAUCAAUGGCCACACAACCCCCAUUUUUGUCAAAAAUAGCCAUGAACGACCAUUUUCAAUGACACUGAAGGCUAACACCUACGGAUUUUUGACCAAGAAAUGAUCACCACCAUAAAUCCAAGAAUGUGAUCUAUGGCAAGGAAACCUAUGUGGGGUGAGGUGUAGGAGCCUCUAGUCGAUGAUCAAUGGCCACACAACCUUCAUCUUUGCCGAAAAUAGCCAUGAAACGACCAUUUUCAAUAAUACCAAAGGCUUACACCAACAGGUUUUUUACCAAGAAAUGAUCUCCACCAAAAAUCCAAGAAUGUGAUCUAUGGCAAGGAAACAUAUGUGGGGUCAGGUGUAUGAGCCUUUGGUCGAUGAUCAAUGGCUACACAACCCCCAUUUUUGUCCAAUAUAGCAAGAACGAGCAUUUUCAACAAUACCGAAGGCUAACACCUACAGAUUUUUGACCAACAAAUGGACCCCACCAGAAAUCCAAGAAUGUGACCUAUGGCAAGGAAACAUAUGUGGGGUCAGGUGUACGAGCCUUUGUUCGAUGGUCAAUGGCUACACAACCCCCAUUUUGUCGAAAAUAGAAUGAACGACCAUUUUCAAUAAUACCGAAUGCUAGCACCUACGGAUUUUUGACCAAGAAAUGGUCUCCACCAGAAAUCUAAAAAUGUGACCUAUGACAAGGAAACAUAUGUGGGGUCUGGUGUACAAGCCUCUGGUCGAUGAUCAAUGGCCCCACAACCCCCAUUUUGUCGAAAAUAGCCAUGAACGAUAAUUUUCAAUAAUACUGAAGGCUAACACCUAGGAUUUUUACCAAGAAAUGGUCUCCACCAGAAAUCCAAGAAUGUGAUCCAUGGUAAGGAAACAUAUGUGGGUGAGGUGUACGAGCCUCUGGUCGAUGAUCAAAGGCCACACAACCCCUAUUUUUUCAAAAAUAGCAUGAACGACCAUUUUCAAUAAUACCGAAGGCUAACACCAACGGAUUUUUGACCAAGAAAUGGUCUCACCAAAAAUCCAAGAAUGUGAUCUUUGGCAAGGAAACAUAUGGGGGGUGAGGUGAACGAGCCUCUGGUCAAUGAUCAAUGGCCACACAACCCCCAUUUUUGUCGAAAAUAGCCAUGAACGACCAUUUUCAAUAAUACCGAAGGCUAACACCUUCAGAUUUUUGACCAAGAAAAUGGUCUCCAUAGAAAUCCAAGAAUGUGACCUAUGGCAAGGAAACAUAAGUGGGGUGAGGUGUACGAGCCUCUGGUCGAUGAUGAAUGGCCACACAACCCCAUUUUUGUCAGAAAUUGCCUUGAACGAGCAUUUUCAAUAAUACCAAAGGCUAACACCUACCGAUUUUUGACCAAGAAAUAGUCUUCGCUAGAAAUCCAAGAAUGUGAACUAUGGGAAGGAAACAUAUGUGGGGUGAGGUGUACUCGAAACUGGUCGAUGAUCAAUUGCCACACAACCCCCAUUUUUGUCGAAAAUAGCAUGCACGACCAUUUUCAAUAAUACCUACAGAUUUUUGGCCAAGAAAUGGUCUCCGCCCGAAAACCAAGAAUGUGAUCUAUCACAAGGAAACAAAUGUGGGGUGAGGUGUACGAGCCUCUAGUCGAUGAUCAAUGGCCAACACCUACGGAUUCUUGACCAAGAAAUGGUCUCCACCAAAAAUCCAAGAAUGUGAUCUAUGGCCAGGAAACAUAUGUGGGGUCAGGUUUAUGGGCCUCUGGUCGAUGAUCAAUGAUCACACAACCCCUAUUUGUGUCCAAAAUAGCAUGAAUGACCAUUUUCAAUAAUACCGAAGGCUAACACCAAUGGAUUUUUGACCAAGUAAUGGCCUCCACCAGAAAUCCAAGAAUGUGAUCUUUGGCAAGGAAACAUAUGUGGGGUGAGGUGUACGAGCCUCUGGUCGAUGAUCAAUGGCCACACAACACACAUAAACUUAAACUCAUAUUGAUGUGUUUAUGUCCACUCAAGUAAAACAUCACACAUCAUUAUGCCACAUCGUUUCUAAAAAUAAAAUAAAGACCAUGGGAAAUUUAGCCAAAUUGCACGAGAGAACUGUCCAAACAUGGGUUAAGGUUGUAAGGAAUCUUCUUUCCACCAAACUAUUGCUAUUAAGUAGGAAUAUGAAGAAUUCAAAACAAUAGAUCAUCUUUUAAACUAAAAAUGACGUUUCCUUGAUGUCAAGGGCAUUGUAUUCGCACCAGAGGGUAUUAGAGUACAACUAGUGGAUGAAGACGUUAUUGGGCUAGCUAAUGACCUUUUGUGAUACCAGGUUUCCUAUAAUCCCCUUUAUUCAAGGCAUACCUAGAUGGUUUUUAUAUCCACUCAAGAAAAACAACACACAUCAAUAUGCCACAUCGUUUCUCAAAAUAAAAUAAUGACCAUGGAAAAUUUAUCCAAAUUGAGUGAGAGAACUGUCCAAACAUAGGUUAAGGUUGUAAGGCACAUUUUUCCACCAUACCGUUGCUAAAAAGUUGGAAUAUAGAGAAUUCAAACAAUAGAUCACCUUUUAAACCACAAAUGACGUUUCUAUGAUUUUGAGGGCACUAUAUUAGCACGAGAGGGUAUUAGUGUGCAACUAGUGGAUGAAGACGUUAUUGGGCUAGCUAAUGACUUUUGUGAUACCAGGUUUCCAAUAGUCCCCUCUAUUCAAGGCAUACCUAGAUGGUGUUUAUGUCCACUCAAGUAUAACACCAUACAUCAUUAUGCCACACUGUUUCUCAAAGUAAAAUAAAGACCAUGGGAAAUUUAGCCAAAUUGCGUGAGAGAACUGUCCAAAUAUAGGUUAAGGUUGUAAGACACCUUUUUUCCACCGUACAAUUGCUAAAAAGUUGGAAUAUAAAGAAUUCAAAACAAUAGAUCACCUUUUAUACCACAAAUGACGUUUCCUAGAUGUCAAGAGCAUUGUAAUUGCACGUGAGGGUAUUAGAGUACAACUAGUGGAUGAAGACGUCAUUGGGCUAGCAAAUGACAUUUUGUGAUACCAGGUUUCCUAUAAUCCCCUCUAUUCAAGGCAUACCUACACGGUGUUUAUGUCCACUCAAGAAAACAAAACACAUCAAUAUGCCACAUUGUUCUAAAAAUAAAAUAAUGACCUUGGAAAAUUUAGCCAAAUUACGUGAGUGAACUGUACAAGAUAGGUUAAGGUUGUAAGGCACCUUUUUUCCACCAUACAGUUGCGAAAAAGUUGGAAUAUAAAGAAUUCAAAACAAUAGAUCACCUUUUAAACCUCAAAUGACGUUUCUAUGAUAUUGAGGGCAUUGUAUUCACAACUAGUGGAUGAUGACGUUAUUGGGCUAGCUAAUGACCUUUUGUGAUACUAGGUUUCCUAUAAUCCCCUCUAUUCAAGGCAUACCUAGAUGGUGUUUAUGUCCACUCAAGUAAAACACCGUACAUCAUUUUUGCCACAUCGUUUCUCAAAAUAAAAUAAAGACCAUGGGAAAUUUAUCCAAAUUGCGUGUGAGAUCUGUCCAAACAUAGGUUACGGUUGUAAGGCACCUUUUUCCACCAUACAGAUGCUAAAAGGUUGGAAUAUGAAGAAUUCAAAACAAUAUAUCACCUUUUAAACCUCAAAUGUCGUUUCUAUGAUAUUGAGGGCAUUGUAUUCACACGAGUGGGUUUUAGAGUACAACUAGUGGAUGAAGACAUUAUUGGGCUAGCUAAUGAUCUUUUGCGAUACCAGGUUUCCUAUAAUCCCUCUAUUCUAGGCACACCAAGAUGGCGUUUCUGUCCACUCAAGUAAAACACCACACAUCAUUAUGCCACAUCAUUUCUCAAAAUAUAAUAAAGACCAUGUGAAAUUUAGCGAAAUUGCGUGAGAGAACUGUCCAAACAUAGGUUAAGGUUAUAUGACACCUUUUUCCACCAUACAGUUGCUAAAAUGUAGGAAUAUAAAGAAUUCAAAGUAAUAGAUCAACUUUUAAACUAAAAAUGACGUUUCCCUGAUGUCAAUGGCAUUGUAUUCACACGAGAGGGUAUUAGAAUACAACUACUGGAUGAACACGUUAGUGGGCUAGCUAAUGACCUUUUGUGAUAACAGGUUUCCUAUAACCCCUCUAUUCAAGGCAUACUUAGACGGUGAUUAUGUCCACUCAAGUAAAACACCACACAUCAAUUUGCCACAUCGUUUCUCAAAAUCAAAUAAAGACCAUUGAAAAUUUUGCCAAACUACAUGGGAGAACUGUCCAAACAUAUGUUAAGGCUGUAAGGCACCUUUUUUCCACCAUACAGUUGCUAAAAAGUUUCAAUAUAAAGAAUUCAAUUCAAUAGAUCACCUUUUAAACCACAACUGACGUUUCCUUGAUGUCAAGGGCAUUGCAUUGGCACGAGAGGGUAUUAGAGUAC